GAUGAACGCUGGCGGCGUGCCUAAUACAUGCAAGUCGAGCGAACGGACGAGAAGCUUUCUUCUCUGAUGUUAGCGGCGGACGGGUGAGUAACACGUGGAUAACCUACCUAUAAGACUGGGAUAACUUCGGGAAACCGGAGCUAAUACCUGAUAAUAUUUUGAACCGCAUGGUUCAAAAGUGAAAGACGGUCUUGCUGUCACUUAUAGAUGGAUCCGCGCUGCAUUAGCUAGUUGGUAAGGUAACGGCUUACCAAGGCAACGAUGCAUAGCCGACCUGAGAGGGUGAGCGGCCACCCUGGAACUGAAACACGGUCCCGACUCCUACGGGAGGCAGCAGUGGGGAAUCUUACGCUAUGGGCGAAAGCCUGGCGGAGCAAAGCCGCGUGAGUGAUGAAGGUCUUGGGAUCGUAAAUCUCUGUUAUUAGGGAAGAACAUAUGUGUAAGUAACUGUGGACAUCUUGACGGUACCUAAUCAGAAAGCCACGGCUAACUACGUG
rnacentral:rRNA from 1 species